GCGGCAGUGGCGGAAUUGGCAGACGCGCAAGAUUCAGGUUCUUGUGGGCGCACGCCCGUGGGGGUUCAAGUCCCUUCUGCCGCACCA
rnacentral:tRNA from 1 species